AGGGGUGUAGCUCAGUGGUGGUAGAGCGCCUGUAAGGCCCCCGGGUUCAAUCCCCGGCCUCUCCA